UGCCAUCAAAACUGCUAUUCUGCAAAACUCCUCUAAAGCCUAGUUCAAAAGUCACCUUCUCCCUCAUGCUCUCCCAUCUUUCUCAGCAUUUCAUUCUCACUACUUAUAACAGCUCUUUAGCCAUAAGUAUAGAAGAGCAUUGUAAAUAAUCAUUGUAGCUUGUCCUUUAAAAUACGUGACAUCUCCUGGGUACUCUAGCUCCCAGAGGAAAGGAACUCAUUUUAUUCACAAGUUCUAGCACCAUAUUGGAACCUGGAAUGAAAAAUCAGUAUUGAAUAAUUCACCACAUGGAGCACUACAUUAAGUUACAGAGGAAAAGAUAGCUGCCCAAAUUAAAGACCUGAAUCAUCUAUAUAUUCAAUCUUAUCCAAAUGACAAUAUGGCCGAAAGGCAGCAUAGAUGUAUACAACUUCAAAUUACAAAUGGGACAACAGUAGCUCUCUCCUGUAAUCCUAGCUACUCAGGAGACUGAGACCUAAAUGAUGGAGGUUCAAAGCUAGCCAGGAAGAAAAGUCUCCAUCUCUUUAAUUGACCAGUGAAAAGUGGUACACUGCCAACCAAGAACAAACUUGAGGCCUUGAGUUCAAGACCCAGUACUGACACAAAAGUAAAUAAGUAAAUUAUAGCAACUAAUAUUUGAACUAAACCGUUGACAAGGAUCAAUAUGAUCCCCACAAAAAGGCAAUGAGAUAAGUACUUUUCUCUCUGUUAAGAUGAAGAAACUGAGGCAGGUUAAUAAGUAAAUUUGUGUAUGUGAAUCCAGAGCCAGUGAGCUGGGUUUGAAUCCAGGCUAUGUUACAACUAUGACUGGCCAAGUCACUACCGCCUCUGGGCUUGUUUCCUUAUAAGAGGCAUAUAAAAACUUCAUUUUCCCAUAGUAUACAGAGGACUGAGUUAAAUAUA